GAUGAACGCUGGCGGCGUGCCUAAUACAUGCAAGUCGAGCGAACGGACGAGAAGCUUGCUUUUCUGAUGUUAGCGGCGGACGGGUGAGUAACACGUGGAUAACCUACCUAUAAGACUGGGAUAACUUCGGGAAACCGGAGCUAAUACCGGAUAAUAUUUUGAACCGCAUGGUUCAAAAGUGAAAGACGGUCUUGCUGUCACUUAUAGGUGGAUCCGCGCUGCAUUAGCUAGUUGGUAAGGUAACGGCUUACCAAGGCAACGAUGCAUAGCCGACCUGAGAGGGUGAUCGGCCACACUGGAACUGAGACACGGUCCAGACUCCUACGGGAGGCAGCAGUAGGGAAUCUUCCGCAAUGGGCGAAAGCCUGACGGAGCAACGCCGCGUGAGUGAUGAAGGUCUUCGGAUCAUAAAACUCUGUUAUUAGGGAAGAACAUAUGUGUAAGUAACUGUGCACAUCUUGACGGUACCUAAUCAGAAAGCCACGGCUAACUACGUG
rnacentral:rRNA from 1 species